rnacentral:tRNA from 2 species
AAGCAAGAAGCGAAGAUCGCAAUCAGUUUCGACCUGAUUAUUAGGUAGUCAUCCCUACCCUUACUUU